rnacentral:tRNA from 1 species
GUUUGAGUAGCAAAGCCCGGUUAUGCAAAAGGUCUAAGCCCUUUUAACAGGGGUUCAACCCCCCUCUUAAACA